rnacentral:rRNA from 1 species
CUGACUGCUAUCGGAUUGGUACUAAGCCAUGCGAGUCAUUGUAGCAAUACAAGGCGGACGGCUCAGUAAUAACACGUAGUCAACCUAACUCGUGGACGUGGAUAACCUCGGGAAACUGAGAAUAAACCACGAUAGAUCAUAGUGCCUGGAAUGGCUUAUGGUCCAAACAGUUUACUGCCAUGGGAUGGGACUGCGGCCUAUCAGCUUGUUGGUGAGGUAAUGGCCCACCAAGGCGAUUACAGGUACGGGCUCUGAGAGGAGUAGCCCGGAGAUGGGUACUGAGACACGGACCCAGGCCCUAUGGGGCGCAGCAGGCGAGAAACCUUAGCAAUGUGCGAAAGCACGACUGGGUCAGUCCGAGUGAUUCCUGAUAAAGGAGUCUUUUGCCUGUCCUAAAGGCACAGGUGAAUAAGGGGUGGGCAAGUCUGGUGUCAGCCGCCGCGGUAAUACCAGCACCUCGAGUGGUCAGGACGUUUAUUGGGCCUAAAGCAUCCGUAGCCGGCUCUGCAAGUCUUCGGUUAAAUCCACCUGCUCAACAGAUGGGCCGCUGGAGAUACUACAGAGCUAGGGAGUGGGAGAGGCAGACGGUAUUCAGUGGGUAGGGGUAAAAUCCUCUGAUCCAUUGAGGACCACCAGUGGCGAAGGCGGUCUGCCAGAACACGUUCGACGGUGAGGGAUGAAAGCUGGGGGAGCAAACCGGAUUAGAUACCCGGGUAGUCCCAGCUGUAAACGAUGCAAACUCGGUGAUGCACUGGCUUAUGGCCAAUGCAGUGCCGCAGGGAAGCCGUUAAGUUUGCCGCCUGGGAAGUACGGACGCAAGUCUGAAACUUAAAGGAAUGGGCGGGGGAGCAC